AUACGUAUAUAAGAAUCAACCAAUCAUUUGAGUUUAUUAAAGGCAAAUCUUCAAAGAAAAAACUAACAAUGGGCCACUAAAGAGCAACAUCGCCUUCGCCGGACGCCCUACAAAAACGAUCUUCUAAAGGGGAGUCGUGGCAAAAAUGACGCUCCGGAAUAAAAUAAAUACUCGACCAUUAUACGAAGACCUCCCCCGCCCCUCCCGUGCUAAGGAAACCAGUUUGCAGAGGGGAGUUCUGAGAAGUUUAUGGAGCUCUUAAUCACUGGACGUGAAAGAAGCGAAGAAUCGUUCUUUUGUAUAUACGUACUUACCUACAUAGGUACGUUGUUGAGAGAUCCAUGAAGACCUUAAAAGAGUCGAGUUUUAUGUGCAAAAGAAGAAGCA